rnacentral:tRNA from 1 species
AGCUCUGUGGUGAGACCACAUUAGGUUGCAAACCUAAAGACGCAAACUCACAGUUUGCCCGGGCUU